CCUACGGGAGGCAGCAGUGAGGAAUAUUGGUCAAUGGACGAGAGUCUGAACCAGCCAAGUAGCGUGAAGGAUGACUGCCCUAUGGGUUGUAAACUUCUUUUAUAUGGGAAUAAAAUGUUCCACGUGUGGGCUUUUGUAUGUACCAUAUGAAUAAGGAUCGGCUAACUCCGUGCCAGCAGCCGCGGUAAUACGGAGGAUCCGAGCGUUAUCCGGAUUUCUUGGGUUUAAAGGGAGCGUAGGUGGAUUGGUAAGUCAGUUGUGAAAGUUUGCGGCUCAACCGUAAAAUUGCAGUUGAAACUGGCAGUCUUGAGUACAGUAGAGGUGGGCGGAAUUCGUGGUGUAGCGGUGAAAUGCUUAGAUAUCACGAAGAACUCCGAUUGCGAAGGCAGCUUACUAGACUGCCACUGACAUUGAUGCUCGAAAGUGUGGGUAUCAAACAGGAUUAGAUACCCUUGUAGUC
rnacentral:rRNA from 1 species